UGCUGCUCAGCAACUUCACCCACAGCAACCAUGACUCUCAUCAGCGUCUUCAUCUGCACACUGGCCCUCUGGACUCAAGGAUCUAGAGGACAGGGGACCGUGACUCAAACUCCUUCAGUGCAAACUGUUGUUCCAGGGAACACCAUCACCCUCAACUGUAAAUUCAGUACUGCUGUUUGGCACGACUGUGGGCCUCAGGGUGUAUCAUACGACUGCCUCGCCUGGUACCUGCAGAAACAGGGAGAAGCUCCUAAACUCUUAGUGCGCUGGGUGAGUCACUUGUUUACAGGAACUCCAGCUCGUUUCAGUGGCAGUGGAUCCAAGACUGACUUCACUCUGACCAUCAGCGGAAUCCAGGCUGAAGAUGCAGGAGAUUACUACUGUCAGAGUAGCCAUAAGAUCAGUAGUAGCUAUGUGUCCACACAGUGUUAUAGCAUCGUACAAAAACCUGGUUCAGUGAGCACAGAAAAGCACUGCUGCAGCUGGGAGUGACUGCAGGUGCCGAGGGGGAGAAUGUGACACACCACAAUCACACACACACACACUGUGGAUAAGAGGAAACACACGCCACACUAACUCACUAAUUCACACACACACGUGUCUGUGAGAUCAAUC